GGGCUAUGAAUAGAAUUACCCUAUAGGAAAUAUGUACUUUGACCAAUUAACACUUCAAAUAAUGAAGACCGUCUUUUUUUUUUGAAAUGAAAUGAAGUCCGUCUUUUAUGACAAGUCUUCACCUAUAAGCUAGCAAUUAAUGAAGGAAAGUUUUUGUACUAGUAUAUGUUUUUUUUUUCUUUUUUCAAAAAUUGAAUUUACAAUUAAAAGUAUUUUGUGUUAGGAAUUAC
rnacentral:lncRNA from 1 species